rnacentral:snRNA from 1 species
GGAUAUGAGGAUGAUCUGGUUGUGGCAUCUGUCAUCUUAGGGAUUGCCAGGGUUGAUUUGGCUGGUAGGACCAGUGUGGCAGCUGUCUCCUUCUUCCCUCACGACUUCCUGUGACUUCCAGUCCUUCCGUUCCAUAUCAUGCAUGAUUUUUAAAUACAACACAUAUUAUUGUAUUUUUAGGGAAGCCUGCCAUAAUGCAUUGAUAUCUUUA